AUGCCAGCGGUGAUCCUGAAAAUGUUUCCCACUGGAAUGAAGUGCAUACAGGUGAAUCUCAUGCUUUAAGAAAUUAGAAUUAAAAGACAGAAAGAAGUGUUUAGCCUUACUUUACAAGUUUCAUGACAAUUAAGCACAUUUCAGCCACAAUUUCCAUUACUGUAAUGCAUCUGGAGGUUUUUUUUAACAACUACCAUGAUUCAAACCUCAUCAUACUUUGCAGUAAGAUGCGUGGGGGCUGAAAACACACUUUUGAGACCACUGAAGUGCAUCUAACCACCUGCCUGUAGCAAAACGAAGAAAAGCCCCCUCAGCCUGAGAGAAUAAGAGAGAGGGGUGGAAUGAGAAAGAGAGCGAGUGAAAGAGUCAUGAGUGCAGCUUUGAACAACAAGGGGAAAUCCUCCCAUUGAGAGGCAUGCGCUAUGGAAACACUCAUCACUCAUAGAGGACAUUCUUGAGAUGACAGACAGGCACACCUACAGGAGCUCGGGGGUGAAGCCCCCCACGGCGAAGGAAACGGCCCGAGGAAAGGCCUCAUGCUGAAGGGAGAGGGGCCCGGCAGCUCCUUUAACAAUGGAAGUUCUUGGAAGAUUCUUGGAAGGUCUUGUGAUUUACGAUUCAUC